AGAACGAACGCUGGCGGCAUGCCUAACACAUGCAAGUCGAACGUGAUCCAGGCUUCGGCCUGGUGAAAGUGGCAGACGGGUGAGUAACGCGUGGGAACCUGCCCUGUGGUAGGGAAUAACCGUGGGAAACUGCGGCUAAUACCCUAUGAGUCCUUCGGGAGAAAGAUUUAUCGCCAUAGGAGGGGCCCGCGUCGGAUUAGGUAGUUGGUGGGGUAACGGCCUACCAAGCCUUCGAUCCGUAGCUGGUCUGAGAGGAUGAUCAGCCACACUGGGACUGAGAUACGGCCCAGACUCCUACGGGAGGCAGCAGUGGGGAAUAUUGGACAAUGGGGGCAACCCUGAUCCAGCAAUGCCGCGUGGAUGAUGAAGGCCUUCGGGUUGUAAAGUCCGUUUCGGCGGGGAAGAUGAUGACGGUACCGCAGAAGACGCCCGCUAACUUCGUGCCAGCCAGCCGC
rnacentral:rRNA from 1 species